rnacentral:rRNA from 1 species
UGGCUUAUCACCAAAAAGUCAGGUCAAGGUGCAGCGAAUGAGUUGGGAAGAAAUGGGCUACAUUGUCUACCAGUAGACCACACGAAAAAUCAUUAUGAAAUCUGAUUGGAAGGCGGAUUUAGCAGUAAAAAGAGACUAGAGUGCUCUUUUUAAGUUGGCCCUGGGGCGCGUACAUACUGCCCGUCACCCUCUUCGACUCUGUACUUCAUAUUUACAUAAUACCCCAAAAAGAGAAAAGAAGAGGCAAGUCGUAACAUGGUAAGUCCACCGGAAGGUGGACUUGG